CUUAAACACAAUGGUCAUAUCAAAAUUUUUCUGUCCAAGACCAACUCUCUCCAAGUUCACAAUCUCAAUCUCACUUAGGGUGAUAACAAGGAAAGGAGUCUCAACUAGCUCGACCAAGCAGCUUGAAGUUGGGAUGAUGAAAGAUGAGGUUUUGUAGGGCACCCCAUGGAAGCCAAGCUCUCUCAAAGGCUGAUCAAACUCAAGGUCGAGUCCACUAAACUGCGGUUGGCUCCAAAGAUCGUUCACCCGAUUUACAAAGCUCUGAAAAUCCAUAUUGAUCUUAUUCUUCCUGUCCCUUUCCCUUUGCUCUUCUUCAAUUUCAUCAGGGUCAUAUGCAGACCUCUUUCCGCCUCCCAAAGUCUGGACCGAUUCCAUCACUUCCACAUAAAACUGCACAUCCUUGGUCUUCUUGUUCCCUACCAUGAUAUGAUUGUGAAGGUGAAAGUGGAGAAGAGUGAUCAUUUCCCUCUCUGCAGGCUGGAAAAAAGCAUGUUUGAUGUUUGCAAACAUAACAUCCACACGCUCAUCACUUCUACUAGUUGAAAAUCUAAAUCCAUUUACAUGAGCUUCCAGAGCACCAGGUAGUUUUCUUCCCCGGCCACCAAAUGCUGGACGGAUCCAAAGGUCCGCCAACCUUAUUGGCUUGAAUCUACUCCCAGCAAGCUGAAGUUUCUCCUGAGUAACCAAGGUUGCCCUCUCAGCCCUCUCAGACUCCCUAGCCACAACAUGCCGUCUAAGUGUCUUAAUCUGCUGUACCACUUCACUGAUGUGCCUAGGGUCCUUGGACCGAAAUGAAACUUCCUUCAGGUAAAUAGCCCCUGGGUACUUCAGUGAAUUUGCAUCGUGUGGACUAAAAGGAGUUCCCGGCACAUUAAAUAUAAUACGGAUAUAGCAAUUUCUGUUGGUGUCUUGCUGGCUGGAAACUGUCCUGAUUGUAGCAACAUGGAAAGGUACCAUACUCCCAUAAAUAGGCAGAAGCACAGCCUCAUUCUUCUGGUCUAUCUGAAUCAUUAGAUCUCUUGCAGGAGGAAUAUCAUUGACAUUCUUGUAUGCUAUCAAAUCAGUUGAAGUCUUUGCAGCUCCACGGUUGUCUCCUGUUGCUCUUUCUUCACCAGUAAGUCGCCUUGCAGUUUCUUCAUUCUUUUGACGGGCAAGCUCCGCCUGGUGCUGCCUGCGAAUCUCCUCCUUUGAGAUCUCCCCUGAAUCAGACCUUAGUGUUGUCUUGGACAUGAAGGCCUUUGUGCCAUUAGCCCCAGGUUUAGGUUCUGGUUUUACUUCAUCCUCUUCAGUGAAAGAGUAAGCCACAUCUUUAACAGCUUUUGAGCUCUUACAAGUUGCCACUUCUGGAUUUGUUUGGCCUACAAUAACAGUAUCAGCAACUAAUAGAGAAUAAUUCCGGAUCUUUGGGUUAUUUGUUUGGUUCUGUAAGUUCUGAAAACCGAGUGACAAAUUAAAAAUCAUAUUUGGCCUCAACGAUCGAUCAUUCUUGGCAUUAAGAUUCAGGCCAGACUCACGGAACUCAAGCCCAAUCCCUGUACCUACUGAUUUUGUCAGAUAGGGAACUAAUUCAGGAGCCUCUUUCUCAACCACUGACACAGCUGCUUGAUACACAGCACUGAUCUUGUUCCCAGGCUUUAAUGCACCAAUUGCUGCUUCAUGGGCUUUGAGCAGAACCUCAUAAGCCUUUCUCUGCAUUGGAUUGGCAUCAAUCAAGAAUGUCCUGGCAAGGUUUGAACAGUAAUUGUUAUAUCGGGCUCCAAUUGCAACUAUGAUGACACUGGCAGGAUCAUAGUAGAGAUACUCAUCAUUGCUGGCAGCACUGGGUCUGAGAUCAAAUUCUCCUCCACUUUGAAAUAUGGGAGGGUAACAUAUAUCACAAUUUUCUGCUUUUAACUUCGCCCUAGCUUUGGCAGGAUCCAUUAUGGCCUUCUCUGCGUCAUCCAUCAAAGCAGAAUGGGUAACUUUCUUCUCCUCAUCAAUAGCAUUCUCAAGAGUGGGAAUGACAACAUUGCUCAUCACACUAACACUCAAAUAAGCAGCUUUCUUUACAUUCAAAAUCUCUUCAGCAUCCUUGAAAGCAAGCAGGUCAGAAAACCCAUUAGUUACAUCGGCAAUCUGCUGGAAACCUGCAGUCUUCAGUUUUUCAGCCCAAGUCUCCAAAAGAGUACCUUCUGGAACCUCCUUGGCUAUGUAUCCAACAACACUAGCAUUUGGCUGCGCUCGAAUAGCACGAAAUAUAGCUUCCAUUAAUGUUGUCCCAUCAUCCCCCUUUGCCUUGACAUGAAUAACAACAUCUAUACCUCCCGCAACAUCAUGAGCAGGUGUUCUCAAAACCUCAAGCAAAGCAGCCUUCUUUUGACUACACAAGAAAUGAAUCUGCUUCUUGGUAAAUACCAUUAUAGUGUCCGGGAACUCAUAACCUAGUAACCAAAGAUUCAUGGCGGAUGAUUUCAGGUACCGCAAAUCAUCCGAAGGUGGCGGCGUAGCUAUUGCAAGCGCAUCAGCAGACCCCCAUAGUUCAUCCUUGUGUUUAUUCCAAUGCGAAUACAGUGUCUUAAGUCGUAGUUUGAACUUAUCGGUGUUAAUCUUAUAUGCAUUUUGGCCCCCGCUAGGGUUCCGCUGGUCAGCCAUAUGGGUUCCUCAGCCCUGACAAGCCAAUUUUCAAUCCAGAAAGAAAAAAAGUAAAAGAAAAAUUCGACACCAGUUGUGGUUUAAAACACCUAGUUCUGGCGGCGCCGCACCAUAAUCAGUACGAAAAAGAGAAAAUACUAGGUUUAGGGUUAUGGAACAAGCCAAAACACAAUUGACUCUGGAAUAGAGAAAACGAACAAAAACACAGAAAUAAAAGAAGGAUAAUUCAGGGAAAAAAGAGACCAAGUUUCUCGAAGAUCCAGUAGAAGAAAGAAACUUACCGGAAUCGAAGAACAAGCUUCAAAAAAUGAAAAGGGAGAACUCGAGAGAAGAGAGUGAGUGAAAUUUUUGUUUCCUUUAAUGUUUUGGACUUCCGAACUCAAUAAGAAGUUCUUGCGUAAAUUAGUACUUUUUAUCAAAUUAAUUAAUUAGUUCCCACUUUUUUUUCAAAGUUAAAAUUCAAUUCAUUAUAAAUGAGGCGCACAGUUACAGAUGCAGAGCCCACACACAAAUUGAAAAUAAUCUAAGGCCCAGUAAAAAUAAAAACUAAAUUGUAACCCAUAGCAGAAAAACUCUAAACCCUACAUGUAGAUACGAUCCAGUGCAUCAUAAUUUUCACAGCCUCUCAAUUGAGCUGCUGGUCACCUAAGAAAGAAAAUCACCACCAGGCUUGAUCUGAUCUCCCAAAUAGUAACCUUACAGCCUUAGCAACCCACGCUAAAGCUCAAGAUAAGAUGAAGGCAAGCAGCAAUCCAAGAGAGAGAGGAGACACAAAAGCUCCAUAUACACACAUGCAACCACACUGUUUAUUGACGGGAAAUCUUUUUUAAUAAAAUAAUUUAAUAUUAUUUUUAAUUUUAAUUUAGAAAAUAAAAUAUUAAUAAAUUUAUAUAUGUAAGUGUUGAUAAAAAUUUUAAAAAGUAAAAAAUGACUUAUUUUUAAAAUUUUUUUUACUAUUCUAAAUAUAAAAAAUUAUUAAAAAAAAAUAUUAUUAUAAAAAAUAGUUUUCGUAAAAUAAAUGGCACCUAAAAGUUGUAACCUUUUUCUUUUUCCACUCAUGGUAGUUGAAAUGCUCUCUUUGGUUGGGCUUUGAGUUUGAAUCUUAUUAUUUUGUGGGCGUAGUUAGAGCUUUGCUCUUAUUGGAUUUGCGCGUGUGCCCCUUUAUGAUGGGUCUUACACCAAUUAUGCUUUAAUAAAUCCUAUUUUCAUUUUUGUAAAACAUAUUAUUAGCAUUGAUUUACUCAUUUUUCAAAUUGUGAGAAAUAUCAAUAAAUCUAAAUUUUAUAAUAUCAAAGUUAUUUCGUUUCAAGUUAAAAAAAAUUAGAAACAUCAACUUCUUGUACAUUACAUUCUUCUAUUACAAAGAAAGGGGAAAAUCCAUUAAAAAUCAUUAAUUAGAAACUAUUCUAGGCCAAGCCACGCCUUAAGCAUUCUCUUGAAGUAGAGAAAUAACUGCAGAUAGGAGGAAACUAUAAAACAUCCAAAUUUGAACUGCUAGACCAUUGAAUCAUAACGAAGAACAAUAUUUCAGAUGUACAACUUUAAUCCAUUAAAACUAAUAUCGGCAACUUACGACCAGAAAUCUAUCUUCCAAGCCUCCUACUUGACAUUCAAAAGACAACUGAUUAAAUAAGAACCAUAAGAAUUACCACUAGCUGAUGGCUUCAAUGCAAGCCACGUCAGGAAACUGAAUUUCUAAAGCAAAAUUGCCUGCAGCUGCUACAUAGUACAAAGAAAAGGGGUAAAAAACAUUCUUCACAUCUAUCUGAAUCUGGAACGCUUGGCCAAGCUGCUACUAGGAGGGGCUCGAGACUUCCCAAGUUUCUUCAUUUUCCUUCUAUUCCUCUCCACCUCACUGUCUGACUCAUCCCCUUUCUCCCUGUCCGCAUUGCUUGCUUCCCUCUCUAACUCUUCCCAUGUCUUGCCCUUUUCUUCCUCAGAAUCGUCAUCUGAAUCAUCAUCCUCCUCAUCAUCAUCAGAUUCCACCAAUGACUCACUAUCAGAGUCAUCAUCUUCUGACUCAGACUCAGGUUCGGCGUCUGAUGGCUCAUAACCCUUGUCUGAAUCCUCGGAAUUCUCAGAGUCUGAAUCACUUGCUUCCAGAUUCAAAAAUUCCCAACCCCCUUCAUCUAUGAAACUCUGAGGGUCAUCAGUAAUUGUCUUCAGUAUCUGCCGCCAGUUCAAAUUCAACUUGCUCUCGUAAUACUUGAUGUCUGUAGUGUCGAGCCAUUCCUUUAUACCAUCCAGUGAUGUCGAUGGAAUAGAAUCAAUCCUAAGGACAUCUCGCUUGAAAUCCUUAAACACAAUGGUCAUAUCAAAAUUUUUCUGUCCAAGACCAACUCUCUCCAAGUUCACAAUCUCAAUCUCACUUAGGGUGACAACAAGGAAAGGAGUCUCAAUUAGCUCGACCAAGCAGCUUGAAGUUGGGAUGAUGAAAGAUGAGGUUUUGUAGGGCACCCCAUGGAAGCCAAGCUCUCUCAAAGGCUGAUCAAACUCAAGGUCGAGUCCACUAAACUGCGGUUGGCUCCAGAGAUCGUUCACCCGAUUUACAAAGCUCUGAAAAUCCAUAUUGAUCUUAUUCUUCCUGUCUCUUUCCCUUUGCUCUUCUUCAAUUUCAUCAGGGUCAUAUGCAGACCUCUUUCCGCCUC
rnacentral:lncRNA from 1 species